rnacentral:rRNA from 1 species
GAUGAACGCUGGCGGCGUGCUAAUACAUGCAAGUAGAACGCUGAAGCUUGGUGCUUGCACCGAGCGGAUGAGUUGCGAACGGGUGAGUAACGCGUAGGUAACCUGCCUGGUAGCGGGGGAUAACUAUUGGAAACGAUAGCUAAUACCGCAUAACAGUCGACAUUGCAUGAUGUUGAUUUGAAAGGGGCAAAUGCUCCACUACCAGAUGGACCUGCGUUGUAUUAGCUAGUUGGUGAGGUAACGGCUCACCAAGGCGACGAUACAUAGCCGACCUGAGAGGGUGAUCGGCCACACUGGGACUGAGACACGGCCCAGACUCCUGCGGGAGGCAGCAGUAGGGAAUCUUCGGCAAUGGACGGAAGUCUGACCGAGCAACGCCGCGUGAGUGAAGAAGGUUUUCGGAUCGUAAGGCUCUGUUGUAAGAGAAGAACGAGUGUGAGAGUGGAAAGUUCACACUGUAACGGUAACUUACCCAGAA